rnacentral:rRNA from 1 species
GACGAACGCUGGCGGCGUGCUUAACACAUGCAAGUCGAACGCUGAAGCCCAGCUUUUGUUGGGUGGAUGAGUGGCGAACGGGUGAGUAACACGUGAGUAACCUGCCCCCUUCUUUGGGAUAACGCCCGGAAACGGGUGCUAAUACUGGAUAUUCACUGGUCUUCGCAUGGGGGUUGGUGGAAAGGGUUUUUCUGGUGGGGGAUGGGCUCGCGGCCUAUCAGCUUGUUGGUGGGGUGAUGGCCUACCAAGGCUUUGACGGGUAGCCGGCCUGAGAGGGUGACCGGUCACAUUGGGACUGGGAUACGGCCCAGACUCCUACGGGAGGCAGCAGUGGGGAGUAUUGCACGAUGGGCGCAAGCCUGAUGCAGCGACGCCGCGUGAGGGAUGGAGGCCUUCGGGUUGUGAACCUCUUUCGCUCAUGGUCAAGCCGCAACAAUGGUUGUGGUGAGGGUAGUGGGUAAAGAAGCGCCGGCUAACUACGUG